AGUCCUGCCUGACUACAAGGAGGAAGAGGUUGGCGUUGUCGGGGUGGAUGACGUGGAAGUGCUUCAGGCUGCUGAACUGCUGUUGUUCACCGUGGACGAACAAAGUCGUAAAGACACACACAUGCACAAACAGGACCUACACAUGCACAAAGUGGAGAGAUGUCAGAGUGAGGAGGCUGCCUUGGUCAGGCGCCCCAGGUGGUUGGAGGGUUCAGUGCCUUGCUCAAGGGCACCUCAGCAGUGCCCAGGAGGUAAACUGGCACCUCUCCAGCCACCAGUCCACGCUCCAUAUUUGGUCCGGACGGGGACUCAAACAGGCGACCCUCCAGUUCCCAACCCAAGUCCCUAUAGACUGAGCUACUGAGAAAUUAAGUAAUGUAUUAUAUUAUGUGAACCAGCUACAUACUGUAUACAAUUCCAGUUUAUUCAUAUUUCAUGCGUAUAGUCAUUCAAAAAUAAUUUUCAACCAUUUCUUUAUUUGACAAAUUUGUUUUACUAAGUUUUCUAGUCUUACUAACCAUUUUUGACUUUCCUCUUAUCUCACUCCCCCACCUGAGCUGCUGCUGUUCACUGCGGACUAAUAAAAGGUGAGUACGAGCUUCUGACCUGUUAUUUUGUAAGCCUGGUUCUCCAUGUAAUGUGAUUUAUUCAGUAAAUAAAAUAUUAUUUGAUUUACUAACCAUUAUCUCUCUUUCUCCACCACCUGAGCUGCUGCUGUUCACUGUGGACUAAAGGACAUUCCCUGCAUCUUUUAAUUGGAGAGACUCAGUGUUCCUGCAGUGCACCCAGUGUUACCUCAACAAGACAGCUGGAGAGAAGUGGUCAUCUGUGUUUCAGUCCACUAAGGCAGGACUCCUCUUGUGUCCAGGGGCCCCUGAGAUGGGAUGUGAACCAAACUGCACAAAGCCAGCAUCACAACCAUCCACUGAAC